UUCAAAUAUAUAUAAGAAUAUAUAAAUAUCAUAUUUAUAAAAACAGUUAAUAAUUUAUUCGUUUAAAACAUUUUGAUUAUUAACAUUUAUUAAUGUAUAAUGUUUAAUUGAAAUUACAUUAAAUAUUUAAAUUUAUAUAAUUUACUGCGAAUUCGUUAUAUAAUAAAUUAAUACUUUAAACGAAAUUAUUAGUAAUUACAAUAUUAGUAUUACAGAAAUUAUUAGUAAUUACAAUAUUACAUGUUUGUAAAAAAAAUCAACGAAUCGUCAAACUAAAAAAUCAAUGAAAGAACACAAUUCUAAAAUACGUUUAUAAAGUACAUGGUAGACAUUUAUUCAAUAUGCAUCCAAUGCAAUCGUUUUCCUGUAAAAUUCGAUUUAUCGCGUCAGUUAGGAGAACACGCUUGUCGCGCUCGCAUCAAUUUCAACAAACAAGGGGGAAACAAAAGGGAAAUCACGAACAACGCGUUCUAUUUCGAAAAAUACGUUCGUGAGGAUAAUACUAGUCGGAUAUGUGAAAUUAGCGUUGUAUGUUGCGUCGAAUAGAUACAGAUCGUGACAGUCGAGGCAAUGACGCGGCUCGGCACAACGGGACAUCGAAUUAACUGAACGCGCCAACGAGAAAUAUGGGAAUAAUCUUCGAAGCAUGGAGUACACCGAACCUGAGGUAUACACCUGAAUGGGAAUAUUGUUGCUAUGCGACAAUUCAUCGAAUCCAUCUUUACAAGUCAAUUUUGUAAAUAAUAACAUUCAACGGUUUGUUCAGUUUAACGAUAAUACCAUCGUCAUUUACGAUAUUAUUUUUAUGUAAAAUAAUAAAAAAUUUACUGCUUGGAAUAUAA